CCCCGACUAGCUCCGUUGGUAGAGCCUGAGACUCAUAAUCUCAGGGUAGAGGGUUCGUGUCCCACGUCGGGCG
rnacentral:tRNA from 1 species